GUGGGCAUCGUCACUGUCCAGCCGCAGUCCGUUCCGGUCGUCGCCGAAUUGCCGGGCCGCACCAGUGCCUUCCUGGUCGCGCAAGUGCGCGCGCGGGUCGAUGGCAUCGUGCUGUGCCGCGAGUUCACGGAAGGCGAUGACGUCAAACAGGGCCAACGCCUCUACAAGAUCGA
rnacentral:ncRNA from 1 species